rnacentral:rRNA from 1 species
GAUGAACGCUGGCGGCGUGCUUAACACAUGCAAGUCGAACGACUAAAGCCCCCUUCGGGGGGUGUAUAGAGUGGCGAACGGGUGAGUAACACGUGGGCAACCUGCCCUCCGCUCCGGGAUAACUCAGGGAAACCUGUGCUAAUACCGGAUACUCCGAUCGGGUCGCAUGGCCUGAUCGGGAAAGUUCCGGCGGCGGAGGAUGGGCCCGCGGCCCAUUAGCUUGUUGGUGAGGUAACGGCUCACCAAGGCCGCGAUGGGUAGCCGAGCUGAGAGGCUGAUCGGCCAAACUGGGACUGAGACACGGCCCAGACUCCUACGGGAGGCAGCAGUGGGGAAUUUUGCGCAAUGGGCGAAAGACUGACGCAGCAACGCCGCGUGCGGGAUGAAGGCCUUCGGGUUGUAAACCGCUUUCAGCAGGGACGAAACUGACUGUACCUGCAGAAGAAGCCCCGGCUAACUACGUGCCAGCCGCCGCCGUAACAC